rfam:Tissierella creatinophila DSM 6911 TICR_contig000013, whole genome shotgun sequence.
UUAAAAGCAAUGAUGAAAAAUAGUAAUCAAGUUUUAUCUAUAAAGAGAGCAAAUGGUUGGUGGGAAUUUGCAGAUAAAUUGAUGAAUCCAUUUCUAAGCUAUUUACGAAAAAAGUAAAGUCGUAUUCCUACGUUACAGGAUUUGAGUGAACAGAUAGAAUGUUUGUCUGUUAAUUUGGGUGGCAACGCGGAAGAUAUCUCUCGUCCCUUAU